CCUACGGGAGGCUGCAGUAGGGAAUAUUGCUCAAUGGGGGAAACCCUGAAGCAGCAACGCCGCGUGGAGGAUGAAUGUUUUCCGAUUGUAAACUCCUUUUUUUAGAGAAGAUAAUUACGGUAUCUAUCGAAUAAGCACCGGCUAACUCCGAGCCAGCAGCCGCGGUUAUACGGAGGGUGCAAGCGUUACUCGGAAUGACUGGGCGUAAAGAGAGCGUAGGCGGGAUAGAAAGUCAGAUGUGAAAUCCUAUGGCUUAACCAUAGAAUUGCAUUUGAAACUGUUAGUCUAGAGUAUGGGAGAGGUAGGUGGAAUUCUUGGUGUAGGGGUGAAAUGCGUAGAGAUCAAGAGGAACACUCAUUGCGAAGGCGACCUGCUAGAACAUAACUGACGCUGAUGCGCGAAAGCGUGGGGAGCAAACAGGAUUAGAUACCCCUGUAGUC
rnacentral:rRNA from 1 species